CACGUACUCCCUCCGUCCGGAAAUACUUGUCCUAUAAAUAAAUAAAAUGAAUGUAUCUAUAACUAAAAUAUGUCUAGAUACAUGUAUUUUUAAGACAGGUAUUUUCGGACGGAGGGAGUAUUUU
rfam:Hordeum vulgare subsp. vulgare, WGS project CAJW01000000 data, contig: morex_contig_42186